UACGUAGGUGGCAAGCGUUGUCCGGAAUUAUUGGGCGUAAAGAGCUCGUAGGCGGCCUGUCGCGUCGACUGUGAAAACCCAGGGCUCAACCCUGGGCCUGCAGUCGAUACGGGCAGGCUAGAGUGUUGCAGGGGAGACUGGAAUUCCUGGUGUAGCGGUGAAAUGCGCAGAUAUCAGGAGGAACACCGGUGGCGAAGGCGGGUCUCUGGGCAACAACUGACGCUGAGGAGCGAAAGCGUGGGGAGCGAACAGG
rnacentral:rRNA from 1 species